GACGAACGCUGGCGGCGUGCUUAACACAUGCAAGUCGAACGGAAAGGCCUGCUUUCCCUUGUGGAUUGCGGGUACUCGAGUGGCGAACGGGUGAGUAACACGUGAGUUAUCUGCCCCCAACUUUGGUAUAAGCCUGGGAAACUGGGUCUAAUUCCCGAUAGUACUGCAGGGUGGGUCCGGUAGUGUAAGCCGAUUUUCUAGUGGUUGGGGAUGAGCUGCCGGCUUGUCAGUUUGUUGGUUGGGUAAUGUCCUACGAAUAGGGUGACGGGUAGCCUGCCUGGGAUGGCGGACGGGCACAGUGGGACGGAGACACGGCGCAGACUACACGGGGCGGACGCCGUGGGGAGGAAUGCACAGUGAGCGGAAGCCUGAGGCAGCGACGCUGCGUGGGGGAUGCCGGGCUCCGGGUGGUAAACUCCUGUCGAUCGAGAGGAAGCGACUUGGUUGGAAGGGUGGUGACGGUAGUGGUAGAAGAAGCACCGGCUAACUACGUG
rnacentral:rRNA from 1 species